rnacentral:tRNA from 1 species
GGAGGGGUAGCGAAGUGGCUAAACGCGGCGGACUGUAAAUCCGCUCCCUCUGGGUUCGUAGGUUCGAAUCCUACCCCCUCCACCA